AUACUUACCUGGCGGGGGAGAUACCAUGAUCACGAAGGUAGUUUUCCCAGGGCGAGGCUUAUCCAUUGCACUCCGGAUGUGCUGUCCCUUGUGAUUUCCCCGUAUGUGGGAAACUCGACUGCAUAAUUUGUGGUAGUGGGGGACUGCAUUCGCGCUCUCCCCUG
rnacentral:snRNA from 1 species